GCCUGACUGUUGGAGCGACCAGCUGUGCAGGGCCCACCCAUGGAUCGUGUCGAGGGGCGGGGCCUGGCCCUUGUGGGGUCUGGUUUUUGAGGUUGUGAUGUCCCCCAAGCUGGGAGGCAAAUUCUGCAGGCUCUGCUGAGUCCUCUCCUUGAGUAAUUUACUGAUAAUUGUUUAUUAAAGGCGUUAUUCCAGCCAUCACCACAGUGGAUCCUUUCAAGGAGCCAAGGCAGGAAUUAUUACUCCCAUUUAACAGAUUCACAAGGAGUUGGAAAAAAAGGAACAGGAAGUUUCCACGAACGUUCACCCAGUUUCCCCCAAUGGUAACAUCUUACAUAACUACAGUGUGAUAUCAAAACCAGGAAAUUGGCCUGGAUACAAUCUACAGAGUUCAUUCAGCUCUAACCAAAAAGGAGAUAUUCUGAAAGACUAAUUGAUAGUAUUUUAAUUAGACCUGCUUGAACAGAAAGGAAAUGUUCCCAGAACAGGGAGCAGGGCUCCGUGGGUCUCCCAGCCCUACAACCCAGAGUUAUUUACUUUUUUAUUUAAGCAGUCUCUACACCCAACAUGGGGCUCAAACUCAUGACCCCCGAGAUCAAGAAUUGCAUGCUCCACUGACUUAGCCAGCCAGGUGCUCUGAAAAAGCUGUACUUUUAGAAGAACUUCCUUUACUCACCUGGGUGGCUUAGAACUUCGGCUCGGGUCAUGACCUCACGGUUCGUGAGUUCAAACCCCACAUCGGGCUGGCUGCUGUCCACGUGGACCGCGCUUUGGAUCCUCUGUCCCCCUCUCUGCCCCUCUCUGCUUGUGUGUGCUCUCUUUCUCUCUCUCUGUCCCUCAAAAUUAGUAAACAUUUUUUAAAAAAGUUCCUUCACCAAGCAUUUUGCAUGUGACAUUGAUUGAUCCGGGAGCUUUGCAUUUCAUUUAAUCUCACAUUCCCAUCCCACAGAUUAGGAAACUGAUGCUCUAGGAGGUGCUCAUUAGGUGACUUUCCAGGGAUCACACAGGGGAAGAGUGACAUGGGAACCCAUGCAGAUCUGUGACUCCAAUCUGUUGAUGUGGGGGAAAAGGAGAAGAAAGAGUAGGAUUCUGUGUACAGCUCGGUCAAGGCUACAAGAUUCUUUCACAUCAAGAAUUUGGUUGAUUUUUAUAGUGGCCUUUAAGGCAAGUGAUGCUAUGAAAUUAAGCAAAUGGAAAGAAAAAAACAACAACAACUAGGCUCAGAUCAAGUGAUUUACCCAAGGUCAACAAGGAAGCAAGAGAAAGAGCUCAUUGGGGUGGGUAGUAAACUGAGAUGGGCUACACGCAUACUCCUCCCACCUUGCCACUCGCCACGCCACUCGCCACUCGGUGGGUGGUGAUCUGGCCUGGCUCUUACCUCUGGUGUCACAGGGCUCAGCUGGAAGCCAAAGUCAACUUGUGGAAGGACAACCAAUGACACAAAGCAGGAUUUGGGAAGGCUGGGCAGGUCAGGGAGGGAGCUGUACCGAUGAGUUUGGAGGGGCAGUGAGACUUGGCUAUACCUUUGGCGGGGUGGGCAUUCAGACAGGGGAGGCGGAAGGGAGUGGCUCUGGCAGCCCAUCUGGGUGAGUGUUGCUGAUGGCACCAGAGGAAUGUGAAGGGAGGGAGGCUGUGGAGAGAAAUGAGGCCAGAGAGGUAGCAAGGCCCAUUCACAAAGCACCUUGACCAUGGGCCCAGAAACCUGGCCUCAUCAGAGGGCAGCGGGAGUGAAGGAAGUAGUGGAAACACAACUUCACAAUCUGCAACUGAAGACCCACCUUGUAUUGAUUGGAGGCCUUCCUACCUGGCCUCUGUGUUAGGCAAAACAAUAAAUUUCUUCCUUUGUUUAAGUAGCAGUUCUUGGAGUAUGGACCCUGGACCAGCACCAUUAGACAUGCAGAUUCUUAGACCCCAUCCCAGACCUGCAGACUCAGAAACUCUGAACCACCCAUUUAACUAGCUUGAGUUCCAGGCAUAUGUUAUUUGCAGCUCGAAGCCUCAAUUACAGUGGUUCUUGCAUAUUGGAAUCACCUUAAAAAAAUGCUAGUGUCUAAACUUCCACCCUGAGGGCUUCUGAUUGAAUUGGUCUGGACUGGACCCGGCUGUGAAGAUUUUUUAAAGCCCUUCCAAGCUAUUCAAAUGCACGCUUAAGCUCGAGAAGUAGCUCCCAGGGAUCCAGCAGGCCAGUACAAGACUGUGUAGGAGGGGAUGCUCUGUUGGACCAGGGUGGCGGCUGUGGGGAUGGAGGUCAACUGGCCAGCCCUUGGUAACGGAUGGCUGUUUUCAGCUUGGACAAAUGUCUGGGUGGUGGCACCAUUCCUGGGGAUGGGGAACACGAAAAGGACCAUGUUUGAGAUGGAAGACUGUGGGCUGCAGUCUCAGAAAUGAUGAAUUCUGUUCCUUGAAGCUAAAGGGAGCUGUGAAACAUUCAGAGGGAAGGGGCAGGGUGGCAGUUGGAUAUGUGCUUGAGUAGCUCCAGGGGCAGAGCAGGACAGAUGCAGAAUAGUGGGUCCUCGGCAGAGAAGGCAAAGGGAAUGGUAUUACCUAACGCUUGCCACCAAGUGAGAAGUGGGCCAGGAAGGAACUGGCCAGGAGGAAGAGCCUCCCACAGCAGGCACUGGGAAGGCACUGUCAGGCAGGUGGGAGAGCCUGGAGAGAAUUCAAGAGUCACAGGGAAAAAGGGGUUCAAGAAUGAGGUCCAGGGGCCCAGGGGCGGUGGGGGAAUAUUGAGGGAAAAAGAGCACUGCAAAGUGGUUGUUGGAUUUGGCAACAAGGGAGUCCUGUGACCUCAGUGAGCGUGAGUCAGUGCAGGGGUGAGGCUGGGGUGGAAGCUGGCAGAAGGAGACCAAAGACAGGGGGUGAGUGGGAGGGGAGGAGAGAGGGAGAGCAAGUGUAGAUAACUUUCUCAAAGGAAAGUGGCAUCUAUUGGGGGGACACAGGGUCAAAAGGAUGUCUUACAGGGACCUUCCUGGAAGGGUGUGAGCGGUGAAAACAGAGCACACUGCUAGGAUUUUACCUCUCAGCCACUUCAAACCUUUGUCUGUGGCAACAAAUAGCACUCAAUGCCUGGGUGCAUGUGGUACCUGCACAGUAAAGAGAGGUGGCUAGGGGCGCCUGGGUGGCUGAGUCGGACUGAGUGUCAGACUUUGGCUCAGGUCUGUGGGUUUGUGGGUUUGAUCCCGGCAUCGGGCUCUCUGCUGUCAGUGCGGAGCCUGCUUUGAAUCCUCUGUCCCCAUCUCUUUCUCAAAAAUAAACACUAAAAAAUAAUUACGGGCGCCUAGGUGGCUCAGUCAGUUAAGCAUCUGACUUCCGCUCUGGUCAUGAUUUUGCGGUCCGUGGGUUUAAGCCCCGUGUCAGGCUCUGUGCUGAGAGCUCAGAGCCUGGAGCCUGCUUCAGAUUCUGUGUCUCCCUGUCUCUCUGCCCCUCCCCGACUCACACUCUGUCUCUCUCUGUCUCUCAAAAAUGAAUAAAUGUUAAAUUUUUUUUUUUUUAAAAAGAGAGAUGGCUAAAAGCAAAGACUAGGGUCAGACGGUGUGAGUGGGCAUCUCACUAACCAUACAAUGUCGGGCUAGUUAACCUCUCUGUGCCUCAAUUUUUCAUCUAUAAAAUGGGGGUGCUAAUAGUAACUAUUAUAACUCUUACGUAGUGUUACAUAUGCCAGUCACUGCUGUAAGUGCUUUGUAUAUAUUUACUUUGAGAUCCUCACAGCUGGCCCAUAGAGGUAGGUGUUAAUAUGUAAUAAGUGAGUUAAUGUAUAUAAAAUGCUUAAAAUAGUAGUUGGCACGUAGUAAAUGCUAGAGGAGUGAGCAGUUAGUAUUGUCAUUGCUAUUAUGAUUCCACAUAAAUGAGGGAAAGUCAAAGGCCACAGAAGACCGUCUGCUGUUUAUAUCCUGCAAGCAUCUGCAGAAGUUGAGAUGUGAGAAGAUUCAGACUCCCCCGCCUUGGAUCAGCUUCAUGAGGAGAGGGAUCCAGUGGUGAACAGAAUCCCAGCACCAAGACCAUCAUCUAGGCCACAGUGGGCCCUCAGAAAGGAUCUGUUAAAUGGCUCAAUAGAAGAAUCAAUGAAAUAUGGGGACCAUUCACCCCAACUCCCCAUCUAAAGUAUCAGUUCCUUCUAAGACAUCCCAACCAAGUGUGUGUCUGCCCUCUAUUUGCACAUCGCUACCCCCAGGGGCAACACAUUCUCCUUCUGGAUGGCUCCCUGUGAUUUCCACUCAUGGGCUCGGCUCUGCCCUCUUCCAACUUGGAAGGUGGUAAGCCUUUCUGAACCUUCUCCUGGCCAUGGAGCGAGGAUUUCCAGGAUGAGUGUCUGUCAUCUCUGACCUGGAUGACAGCAACAGCCUAAAACUGGCCUCCUUGCUCCUGCCCUUGCCCCAUGGUGGCCUCUUCCUGACUCUGCACCCAGAGAGAUCCUGUGAAGACCUUAUACCUGAUCUUGUCAAACCUCUACUCCAAACCCUCCAGUGGCUUCCAGCUCAGAGGAAAAGCUAAGGUCCUUUGAAGGCCACCUCCCAUUGCCAAUUGGCUCUGUCUAUCCGUCCCAGUGAGACACACUGACAGUCCCCAACAGUUUUUGUUUUUAUUGGUUGAAAAUUCUUUACAAAAUCCACACACACGCAUCCACAUGCACACAAGAUGCCUGACCUGGUCUGGCCACCUCCUGCCCUGCUGUCUCCUGGGAUCAGACCUUCCUGGCCUCACCUAGGUUUGCCACCCUGCAGCACCCUACCCCCCACUGGGCUACCAGUGGAGGAGCAGAGAAUGGGACGCUCCUUUUCUGUCUCUCUGAUCAGAAACAGAGGCCUGUGCCCUAUUUGGGGGGGGGGGGUACAGGGAGGG